UAAUUAGUUGCAAAAAUAAUUUUAGCGACUGAAUAAGACGAGUAGUCGCAAAUUUUGCAACCGAAUUUGCAGUAGUUGCUAUGCGGUCGUUAAUUAGCAACUGAUUUUUGCAACUACAAUAAUAAUCAGUUGCAAAAAAUAUUUUUGCGACAGAAAAAAACGAGUAGUCGCAAAAUUUGCAACCGAAUUUAUAAUAGUUGCUAUGAGGUUGCUAAUCUGCGACGCUCUUAUAAUAAUUUGCGACUAACACGGUAGUCGCUACUAUUAUUUUUAAUAUUUAUUAAAAAGAAAUAAUAAAAAAACCCUUAGUGUAAUAAAAAAAACCCUUAUUCCUCCAAAACAAAAAAAAAAAAAAAAAACAAGUUAUUGCCACCAAAAUAACAAGAACAUCAGUAUUCACCGUAAAAAACAAGAAUAUCAUACUCUUCCUCAACAAAAAAAAAAAAAAGUUUAGAACCUCAAAGCAAGCCAGCCAUCACCGUCAUCUUCCUCUACUGCUGUUGCACCACCACCACUUCACCUAGGAAACUAUAGCUAAAUUUGCUACACCAUGUAUCAUGAUGAUACCAUCAGCAAGAGUCCUUGUGACGAUCCAGGCAAAGAAAAAGGAUGGAAUUUUACCAACUGCUGCUGAAGUUUAUGAGAGCACUCAUUCUGUUUGUGUGGGCAAUGAUGAAGUUGAAUUAAUGGGUGACAAGUCUCAAAAAGUCAUGGGAGAAUAUAUGGAAAAACUUGAGGAAUAUAAGAACUAAGGAAUUGAGAUAAACCCCGACAAAGUCUAUUUGGAGGUUGUAGGUGGGCAAAAGAAAGGAAAAGUCUACGGUUUAGGGAGUGCUUCACAAAUGUAUUACAAGAGUGAUCCUACUUCUCAAUCUACUGCAUCAUCUUCCACUCCUUCCAUGAUUUCUCAAUUAAGUUCUCAAGUUGACGAACUAAAGAAGAUGGCGGAAGAAAACCAUAACAAGGUAGAAGAAAGCCAAAAAA